GUGUAUGGGGUCAAAGGUAGAUAGGGUUUCUUCUUCAUUUCUUCUCUACCUUGUUUUUCGGAGACAUGGUAGCUCACUGUCACUGGAGUUUUUAGAUUGUCCACCCUGGAUUGUCAGUAUGCUCUAGUAAUCUGCCUUUCUCUCCAUCCCCAUUCCUUUGUUGCAAGCAUACACAACUGUAACUGCCUUUCUACAGGAGUGAUGUAGUUGGAAGUCAAGUCGUCAUGAUUACAUGUCUUUGUGAGACAUUAGCAUGGGAAAUGGAAAUGGAAUAGGCUUUGAAAGAAGAUGGGCUGCAGGUCAAGUUUCUCUUCUAUUACAGACAGACCAAUUGAUACUGAAUAUGUUACAUAACCCCUGGGCCUUUGGUUUUUCAUCUACAAAAUGACUGUUCCCUCUUCCUCCCUACAAGAUCCUUUCCAACUUUCAUGGCUCCUUGUUUUGUUUUGUGACCUGCUGAAGUCAACUAAGAUCAUCUGUUUGACCAAGGAUUGGAAAAUAUCCACCACAGCCCAGUGGACUCAAGUGAGUUCAUGUCAAUGGCUACUCUUUUCAUAGAAUGCAUCAGUAGCCAAGAAUUCAUCAAGGCCUCAUGAGUCGCUCUUCCAAUCCAUGGUUGGUUGUUGUCCAGGGUCAUGACAAGAAGCUUCAGCUGAGGUCAGAUUUGCAGUGGUAUGUCAUUAUUAGAAGAUAGUAUUUUACAUCCCUUGCCCUUAUGUUUUGGCUCUUGCAU